GCAUGGCGGAUGGUUCUCGAAAUCCGGGUGAGGAAAGCCGGCCGCGAGGACGCGACGAGCUUCCAUGAAAGGAC
rnacentral:sRNA from 1 species